CGGCGGACGGGUGAGUAACACGUGGAUAACCUACCUAUAAGACUGGGAUAACUUCGGGAAACCGGAGCUAAUACCGGAUAAUAUAUUGAACCGCAUGGUUCAAUAGUGAAAGACGGUUUUGCUGUCACUUAUAGAUGGAUCCGCGCCGCAUUAGCUAGUUUGUAAGGUAACGGCUUACCAAGGCAACGAUGCGUAGCCGACCUGAGAGGGUGAUCGGCCACACUGGAACUGAGACACGGUCCAG
rnacentral:rRNA from 1 species